UACGGAGGGGGCUAGCGUUGUUCGGAAUUACUGGGCGUAAAGCGCACGUAGGCGGCUUUGUAAGUUAGAGGUGAAAGCCCAGGGCUUAACCCUGGAAUUGCCUUUAAGACUGCAUCGCUAGAAUUGUGGAGAGGUAAGUGGAAUUCCGAGUGUAGAGGUGAAAUUCGUAGAUAUUCGGAAGAACACCAGUGGCGAAGGCGGCUCACUGGCUCAUACUGGACGCUGAGGUGCGAAAGCGUGGGGAGCAAACAGG
rnacentral:rRNA from 1 species